rnacentral:lncRNA from 1 species
ACGAGAACUGCUAUCGAACAGCUUUUAACACCUUUAAACUCAAUUUCCACUAGUUAAAAUUGAUAUGUUAAAAUAUAUAUUUAUAGAAGUGUUACAUAAGAGAUUUACAAAGAUUGAAGUAAGAUUUGAGCUGUUUCUCACUCUAGGUCUCAUAUUUUCUCUCUCCUAGACCCUUUCUCUCUCUAAAAUUGCUGAAAAUGAGCUGCGGGUUUGAUAUAUAUAGACCUGCGACAGCCACAGGUGUAUUAGUAGAGCACCAGCGUGAAAUCAAGACGGUAAGAACAUCAUAGUCCUGGAUGUGAAGAUCCCUACAUAGCUAAAUGCAUCGCAGAAUGUCAACCCUCUUCAGUAUAUCCACAUAAUCUGAAUUUUUGAGGAUCUCGUCGAUCCAAUGUUGCCACCCCUAUAACGACCCCAAAAUCAAAACAAUUUUCACUCCCGAUUUGUUCGUUAAAUAUAACUUUAUUCUAAUUCUCCGCUAAUAAUUAAUAUUAUAAUAGAUGAAACUUGUGCAUUUACAACUGUAUACAACAUUCAAAUCAAUAAAGAUAUUAAAAUUUAGUUAUUAUUUUUUAAAAAGAAAAACUUUUAUCAUAAUUUAAUAACAUCCAUAAAUUCUUAAACAUUUUUCAUCGAUUUUCGUCCCUGAAAUCGCAACCUUUAUAACUAUAAUCCAACAACUAUGUAUUCAAGAUAUACCAUCUCUCAUAAAUUAUUGACACCAUAUCAAUAUACUUUACAAAGUAAAUGUAAAGUUACAUAUCAAAUUCAAAAUGAAUAUCAUUUGUUUCAUGAUUCAAAGUUUUACAUGAUUUAGCUUAUAUACAUCGUAAACCGCAAUCUCAGUUUAGUAUGAAUCCAACUAAAGAAAACAAUUAAAAACUUUUGUUUUAAGCGCGCCCCAAGUCUACACCAUAAUCACGAGAUAAUAACAUUCUUAAUCUGCAAAAUUAUUUACAAGAAUGAGCACGAUAGCCCUGCAAGUUAAGCUAACACAUUUUAUGCUUCACAUACUAUACAUGUCUUGCAUUGCAUUCAUGCGUCAGGUAUUUCAUGUUGUGCAUUUCAUAAAUACAGACCUCAAAUGUUUCAUGUUACGUAAUUUACAUAUGUUCUUCAAUUUACAUACAUCACAUCUAACUAUUUCCACAUAAUACAUGCUUUACACAAACAUAUACUUCAAGUUCACAUAGAACAAUAAUAUUUUAGUUCUUUAUUGCAAAUCAACAGUUUAACACAUCCAUAUAGAAUAUUUUCACGUAACAACAAAAUAUAUACUUACUGAAAGAACUUGCAUGUAUCAUUGUUCACCAUUUUACGCUCAUUGAACAUCCAUUGUAUAACUUUACUUGUUGUUUAAUAUCCUCCGCACAUUACUCUUUGUUGUAUAACCCUUUUGUUGAUCCACAUUAAGCUUCCUUACCACAACUUCUUUUAGUUUUUUUUACUGCAUAUAGGAUACACCUGUUGAGUUGUAAACAUAUUAGAGAAAUGAUCCACAAAAGCAUUUUUAACCUCAUCAUAAUCUUCCAACAUAAUUUCGUCAACACCCUUAUACUUAGAAUCUUGUUUCUAGCUCUAUUAAAGUUCACCAUCUUAUGAAAGUAAGUAGUAUUAUCAUCCCUCAAAUUCAACCGUUGAUUCCUAGAUUUUGCUUAGCAAAAACUUUCUUCAGCUUCCCUCAACUCAAAGCAUAUUUUUAAAUCUUUCAAAGCAUAUUUCACAUUGUUCAAUUUUUUUACAGUAUAUAUAUAUAUGGGGAUUUAAUAUUAUAUGUAUAUACGAUAUAUAAUGUUUAUCAAGGGAAUUAUAUGCUUAUACAUACUAACAUAUAUGUAUUUCAUAGUGUACACACCAUUAUACACCAUUGGUUUGACAGGCUAAAGUGAUGAGUACCUUAUAUCCAUUAUUUGCCUUUCAUACUGGUGCCUAUAUUUUACACACCAAGCUUACAUCAUUUCACACAAAUGUAUGCUUAUUUUAAAACACUAUACUCAACAUAAUGUAAUAUCAUAUUGAUGUAUCUUACACUGACACAAACAGUUUUCAUAUUAUUACUUACUAUACAAUACGUUUAUUUAAUAUAUAUAUAUAUAUAUAGUAAGUAACAUAGUGACUUAUUAUAGUGUUUAUGAAACUUACACAUUAUUUGCCUCAUGAAACUUACCUGAUUUACAAUGGCAUACAAGGAAUUCUCAUAAAUACAUAUAUCAAUAUGAAAUCCUCUCUUCACCAAUUUCCUUAAAAAUCAAACCAGUUCCAUCUAUUUCCCCAUUUUUACAAAAACACUGAAACAUAACAUAGUAAGUUAAAUCAUCUACUUUAAGCCUCUUAUCAUGCAAUUCUUUAAGAACCUCUUUAGCUAACAAUCCCUCAUUUUCUCUACACAAAGCCCCAAUAGAUUUUAAGUUAAAAGAGCAAAUGGGUAUUUGGAAAAUUAGAUUUUAGAGUACCAAAUCUAUCAAUUAAUGAAGUCAGCAACAAACAGUGGCGAAGCCACAUAGAACUUUGUGGGGUCAAUCGACCCCACUGAAAAAAAAUUGCUUUAUAAUAUAAGGUAAAUUUAAAUUUUUUUAAGUAUUAUAUAUAAAUUAACUCUAUUAAAAUUUUAUAAAUUUUCUAUUAUACGGGAUCAAAUUGAAAAUUUAUAAUCACAUAUGACUCAUAUCCUCUCAAUAUAUGUAUCUCUAUAAUAUUUCAAACUAAAUAAUAAUUUAAUUUAUAUUAUUUUUAAAAAUAAUUAAUGAAUUACUUAUUAUGAACAGUUGUGAUUAAAAAAGUCUAUUAUGAGUUAAUAUAGUGUAUAUAUACCAUAUAUUAUUACUUAUUAUAUUUUCAUUGUAAUAUAUAUAUAUAUAUAUAUAUACUCGAAAAUAUAAAGUAUUAAAAAAAAUUGACUCGGGGCAUGCCCCCAACCCCCACCAAAUUAUUUGUAAUUCAGUAAUAAUUUCAAUCUCACUUACAAAAAUUUCUGGCUUGGCCACUGACAACAAACACAUCAAUUGUGAGGUUUAAUCAAUGUGCUCUGUUUCUCCGUACUACAAUACCCAAACUAAUUAAUGAAUGAAAAGAAACAUUAAGUUUAAGAGAGAUGGGGACGAAAUGGAAAUAAAAAAUUUUGAUUAUGGAGGAUUGCAAUAUAUGUUUGAGCAAGAUAACCUCAUAUAGGUAUUUUAUCAAACACAUAUUCUGCAUACUUUAAAAACUCAAAUCUUCUAUGAAUUUAAAGCAUAGACUUCACUCCAUAAUCCAUUUCAUCCUUAUACUUCGAAUCCUUCAUGAUUUCCAAAUUAAUUCGUACUCCCACAACAACAAUUCAUAACAAUAACAAUUAUUCUCUACUUUAGUUUUCAUGAGUUUAUCAAAUAAGUAUAACUUACCUUGCUUGCGUUGGGACUUUGGCUAAAUCCACGCUUCAGUGGCUGAUUUGAACCAUUACUUGAAUGGUAUUUUACUCUAAUCCUUCCUUAAAUUUAGUUGGUAACUGUUGGAAAAUUUGGUGAUUUCUUUACAGAAAUUAAAGAUGUUUGCAAGAAUUAAUAAGGAAGUUGGGCAUGAGACUUGUUUUGGGACGGAUAGGAGAAAACAGGGAAUGGAGUGGCUGUACAUAUUGCAUAAGGCUAAGAAAUCUUACUCACUUUCCACUAAAGUAGAAAAGCUAGGUGUCACACUAGUUGCUAAAUAGCACAACACCUCCUGCUAAAUUAUUGACUCAGCAUUCAUCAUAUACGCAUAAUAUAUAUUAUAUAUCGUAUACAUAUCACUUAUUCCACCC